UCCCCAAGGUCCCUCAGGGCGGUGACAGCCCCGUCCCCGAUGUCCCCAGGGGCUGCGACGUCCCCAAGGUCCCUCAGGGCGGUGACAGCCCCGUCCCCGAUGUCCCCAGGGGCUGCGACGUCCCCAAGGUCCCUCAGGGCGGUGACAGCCCCGUCCCCGAUGUCCCCAGGGGCUGCGACGUCCCCAAGGUCCCUCAGGGCGGUGACAGCCCCGUCCCCGAUGUCCCCAGGGGCUGCGACGUCCCCAAGGUCCCUCAGGGCGGUGACAGCCCCGUCCCCGAUGUCCCCAGGGGCUGCGACGUCCCCAAGGUCCCUCAGGGCGGUGACAGCCCCGUCCCCGAUGUCCCCAGGGGCUGCGACGUCCCCAAGGUCCCUCAGGGCGGUGACAGCCCCGUCCCCGAUGUCCCCAGGGGCUGCGACGUCCCCAAGGUCCCUCAGGGCGGUGACAGCCCCGUCCCCGAUGUCCCCAGGGGCUGCGACGUCCCCAAGGUCCCUCAGGGCGGUGACAGCCCCGUCCCCGAUGUCCCCAGGGGCUGCGACGUCCCCAAGGUCCCUCAGGGCGGUGACAGCCCCGUCCCCGAUGUCCCCAGGGGCUGCGACGUCCCCAAUGUCCCUCAGGGUGGUGACAUCCCCAUCCCCAGUGUCCCCAAGGACUAGGACACCUUCGUCCCCGACGUCCUUUUCCCCAGGGGCUGCGACGUCCCCAAGGUCCCUCAGGGCGGUGACAGCCCCGUCCCCGAUGUCCCCAGGGGCUGCGACGUCCCCAAGGUCCCUCAGGGCGGUGACAUCCCCGUCCCCGAUGUCCCCAGGGGCUGCGACGUCCCCAAGGUCUCUCAGGGCUGUGAGGUCCCCGACGUUCUCGUCCCCAACACCCCUCGGGGCAGGGACAUCCCUGUCCCCCAAACCCUCGUCCCCAACGUCCCUCAGGGCCCCGACAUCCUGGUCCUCGAUGUCCCCAAGCUCUAGGACACCCCUGUCCCCGGUGUCCUUGUCCUUAAUGUCCCUCAGGGCUAGGGUGUCCCUGUCCCCAGCGUUCCCAGGGGUCGCGACGUCCCCGUCCCCCACGUCCUUGUCCCCAACAUCCCUGUCCCUGAUGUCCCCAACGUCUCCAGGGGUCGGGACACCCUGGUCCCCACUGUCCUCGUCCCCCGUGUCACUCACAGCUGGCACAGCCCUGUCCCCAAUGUCCUUCAGGGCUGGGACAUCCCUGUCUUUGAUGUCCUCGCCCCCAACAUCCCUCGGGGCAGUGACGCCUUUGUCCCUGACGUCCCCAGGGGUUGGGACAUCCUUGACCCCAAUGUCCUUGUCCCCAGACACUGGGCUGCCGCUGUCCCCAGUGUCCCUUAGGGCUGUGACAUCCUUGUCCCUAAAGACCUUUGGGCCUGGGACAUCCCUGUCCCCGGUGUCCUUUGGGCUUGGCACAUCUCUGACCUUGAUGUCCUUGUCCCCAGGAGCUGCGACAUCCCUGUCCCCGGUGGCCUUUGGGCUUGGCACAUCUCUGUCCCCAACAUCCUUUGCAGCUGGGACAUCCUUGUCCCCAACAUCCCUGUCCCCAGGAGCUGGGACAUCCCUGUCCUUAACAUCCUUUGCAGCCGGGACAUCCCUGUCCCUAACAUCUCUUGGACUUGGGACAUCUCUGUCCCCAAUGUCCUUGUGCCCAGGAGCUGGGACAUCCCUGUCCUUAACAUCCUUUACAGCUGGGACAUCUCUGUCCCCAACAUCCCUGUCCCCAGGAGCUGGGACAUCCCUGUCCCCCAUGUCCCUUAGCCUUGGGACAUCCCUGUCCCCAAUGUCCUUUGCAGCUAGGACAUCCCUGUCCCCAACGUCCCUGUCCCCAGGAGCUGGGACAUCCCUGUCCCCCAUGUCCCUUAGCUUUGGGACAUCCCUGUCCCCAAUGUCCUUUGCAGCUAGGACAUCCCUGUCCCCAACGUCCCUGUCCCCAGGAGCUGGGACAUCCCUGUCCCCCAUGUCCCUUAGCUUUGGGACAUCCCUGUCCCCAAUGUCCUUUGCAGCUAGGACAUCCCUGUCCCCAACGUCCCUGUCCCCAGGUAGAUGGACGUCCCCGUCCUGAGUGUCACCGUGUCCUACGGCAGGGACGUCCCCAUCCCCUGGGAUGUCCCCAUCCCCUGUGUCCCCUGGGACUGGGACGUCCCUGUCCCCAAAGUCCUCGUCCCCCGCGUCCUCGUCCCCGGGCGCCGCCGUGACGGUGAUGGUGAUGCCGCUGGCCCAGGGGGUGACGACCGUGGGGACACCGGGGUCCUCUCCGGGGCGCGCGGGGGUGGCACCACCCGNNNNNNNNNNNNNNNNNNNNNNNNNNNNNNNNNNNNNNNNNNNNNNNNNNNNNNNNNNNNNN
ensembl:lncRNA